UAACAUUUAAAUUAUAGUCAAUUGAUUUUUUUUUAAAUGUUUGAGGACUAAAUCCUGCAUUAAGGAUUAUAGCCAUAUACUAAGUAAUCUUAAUAACCCAGCUAUUAUAGGCACUUUACGAUUAUGAAAUGGUGGAAAAUAUGUAUCUAAAAACCACAUUCGCUUCAUAAAAGGUUUAAACUAAUUAAAAUCGUUAUGAGGAAGUAGAAAAGCAAGAGCAUUAAUUAUUUAACGGUAAUGCGCAAAAAUCGGUUUCACUCAAGGCAAUUUUAGUUCUUUAGUGUGUAACGUUUAGCAAAUAGGUACUAAGUGAAAUCCACUGCCUUUAUGUUGUUUUGUAGAAACAAACGGCAAUAAAGCAAGUUAGCACGUCGGCAGGACAGUAAAAAUACGCGCGUAAUCUAAUCAAUUAUUGUGCCUUAAACAAGUGUUGGCCUGUAAAGUAAUCGCAGUGAUAACGACAUGUUUACAGUGAUUUUCUCGCCGUAUUCGGGGCAGGAUUGCUGUUUUAUUCGGCGAUUUUUUGCAAGAAAAAAUAUUCUUUUCUGAAUUUAUUAGAAAUAAGUUCUUGCCAAAUGGGCAGAUGGUAAGAAAGCUCACAUUCGUGCCAAAAGUGGAAUGCAAUUUCCAAGCAGUUUCCUAGAAUAUUUGAUCCAGAGUUCGAUUUGUACUGAUGCUUCAAGAGCUCAGUCAGUUUGAAGAAGAAAACUGAUACCGAUAUUCUGGAGAGUUUCGAAGCCACUUUUCCCUGAUUUCAGAUUGUACCACUUUAAAUAGUAAAAUAAGAGAACAUGGUUUAACCACUAGUACCUAACGCCGUUUUAUUUACCAUCUCAGAUUAAUAAAAAUGCAAAACCUUAUCUGGUUAUAUGCCUAAGA
rnacentral:lncRNA from 1 species